rnacentral:rRNA from 1 species
GAUGAACGCUGGCGGCGUGCCUAAUACAUGCAAGUCGAGCGAACAGACGAGGAGCUUGCUCCUCUGACGUUAGCGGCGGACGGGUGAGUAACACGUGGAUAACCUACCUAUAAGACUGGGAUAACUUCGGGAAACCGGAGCUAAUACCGGAUAAUAUAUUGAACCGCAUGGUUCAAUAGUGAAAGACGGUUUUGCUGUCACUUAUAGAUGGAUCCGCGCCGCAUUAGCUAGUUGGUAAGGUAACGGCUUACCAAGGCAACGAUGCGUAGCCGACCUGAGAGGGUGAUCGGCCACACUGGAACUGAGACACGGUCCAGACUCCUACGGGAGGCAGCAGUAGGGAAUCUGACGCAAUGGGCGAAAGCCUGACGGAGCAACGCCGCGUGAGUGAUGAAGGUCUUCGGAUCGUAAAACUCUGUUAUUAGGGAAGAACAAAUGUGUAAGUAACUAUGCACGUCUUGACGGUACCUAAUCAGAAAGCCACGGCUAACUACGUG